rnacentral:rRNA from 1 species
UACGGGGGGGGCAAGCGUUGUUCGGAAUUACUGGGCGUAAAGGGCUCGUAGGCGGCCAACUAAGUCCGACGUGAAAUCCCCAGGCUUAACCUGGGAACUGCGUCGGAUACUGGAUGGCUUGAAUUCGGGAGAGGGAUGCAGAAUUCCAGGUGUAGCGGUGAAAUGCGUAGAUAUCUGGAGGAAUACCGGUGGCGAAGGCGGUUCUCUGGGCAUUACCUGACGCUGAGGAGCGAAAGUGUGGGGAGCGAACAGG